rnacentral:rRNA from 1 species
GAUGAACGCUGGCGGCGUGCCUAAUACAUGCAAGUCGAGCGAACAGAUAAGGAGCUUGCUCCUUUGACGUUAGCGGCGGACGGGUGAGUAACACGUGGGUAACCUACCUAUAAGACUGGGAUAACUUCGGGAAACCGGAGCUUAUACCGGAUAACAUUUGGAACCGCAUGGUUCUAAAGUGAAAGAUGGUUUUGCUAUCACUUAUAGAUGGACCCGCGCCGGAUUAGCUAGUUGGUAAGGUAACGGCUUACCAAGGCAACGAUACGUAGCCGACCUGAGAGGGUGAUCAGCCACACUGGAACUGAGACACGGCCCAGACUCCUACGGGAGGCAGCAGUGGGGAAUCUUCCGCAAUGGGCGAAAGCCUGACGGAGCAACGCCGCGUGAGUGAUGAAGGGUUUCGGCUCGUAAAACUCUGUUAUUAGGGAAGAAAAAAUGUGUAAGUAACUGUGCACGUCUUGACGGUACCUAAUCAGAAAGCCACGGCUAACUACGUG